rnacentral:rRNA from 1 species
GAAGAGUUUGAUCAUGGCUCAGAUUGAACGCUGGCGGCAGGCCUAACACAUGCAAGUCGAACGGUAACAGGAAGCAGCUUGCUGCUUCGCUGACGAGUGGCGGACGGGUGAGUAAUGUCUGGGAAACUGCCUGAUGGAGGGGGAUAACUACUGGAAACGGUGGCUAAUACCGCAUAACGUCGCAAGACCAAAGAGGGGGACCUUCGGGCCUCUUGCCAUCAGAUGUGCCCAGAUGGGAUUAGCUUGUUGGUGAGGUAACGGCUCACCAAGGCGACGAUCCCUAGCUGGUCUGAGAGGAUGACCAGCCACACUGGAACUGAGACACGGUCCAGACUCCUACGGGAGGCAGCAGUGGGGAAUAUUGCACAAUGGGCGCAAGCCUGAUGCAGCCAUGCCGCGUGUAUGAAGAAGGCCUUCGGGUUGUAAAGUACUUUCAGCGGGGAGGAAGGUGUUGCGGUUAAUAACCGCAGCAAUUGACGUUACCCGCAGAAGAAGCACCGGCUAACUCCGUGCCAGCAGCCGCGGUAAUACGGAGGGUGCAAGCGUUAAUCGGAAUUACUGGGCGUAAAGCGCACGCAGGCGGUCUGUCAAGUCGGAUGUGAAAUCCCCGGGCUCAACCUGGGAACUGCAUUCGAAACUGGCAGGCUUGAGUCUUGUAGAGGGGGGUAGAAUUCCAGGUGUAGCGGUGAAAUGCGUAGAGAUCUGGAGGAAUACCGGUGGCGAAGGCGGCCCCCUGGACAAAGACUGACGCUCAGGUGCGAAAGCGUGGGGAGCAAACAGGAUUAGAUACCCUGGUAGUCCACGCCGUAAACGAUGUCUACUUGGAGGUUGUGCCCUUGAGGCGUGGCUUCCGGAGCUAACGCGUUAAGUAGACCGCCUGGGGAGUACGGCCGCAAGGUUAAAACUCAAAUGAAUUGACGGGGGCCCGCACAAGCGGUGGAGCAUGUGGUUUAAUUCGAUGCAACGCGAAGAACCUUACCUGGUCUUGACAUCCACGGAAGUUUUCAGAGAUGAGAAUGUGCCUUCGGGAACCGUGAGACAGGUGCUGCAUGGCUGUCGUCAGCUCGUGUUGUGAAAUGUUGGGUUAAGUCCCGCAACGAGCGCAAC